AUCACCAAAUAUGAGAAUGGCAGGAAAAAGUCGAGAAGUUUUAGGCUCUACAGCAUUGCAUGCUCUGCUAAGAAGCAACCAAAUCAUGUGCACUGCAAGAGCAAUGAAGUUAGCCGGUGCCAUAGCCAGAGGAUUCUUAAAUGGGAAGACAACCAACUAGGAAGGCCAACCACCACAAUAUUGACAUCCAAGUUGUAUGGAGGGUAAUUAUUCCUGGUAUCUAUUGAGGAUUCAAACCAAAUAAGAAUCGCAGAAAAAGAAUGAAAAGUGUUAACCUCCAAAGCACUGCUGGAUUUUCUAAGAAAUAACAGUCAGAUAGAGCAACAACAAUGAGGUAAUAAGCUCGUGCUGUUACAGGUACUCUUCAAAGUUCUUAUCGUCCUUAGAUAUUCAUCUUUGCCAAGUUGGUGCAUGAAUUUAUAGGGAGACGAUGAAUGUUACACAAUCUCAUUAUCAUUUUUUCAUGCAAUGAGAAGCGAAGAAGAAUUCUCUCACUAAAAAGGAUGAGUUACUUUGUGAGAUCCCACAUCGG